rnacentral:rRNA from 1 species
UCAGGAUGAACGCUAGCGACAGGCCUAACACAUGCAAGUCGAGGGGCAGCACAAGGAGUAAUCUGAGGUGGCGACCGGCGCACGGGUGAGUAACACGUAUGCAACCUGGCUGUAAGAGGGGAAUAACCCGGAGAAAUCCGGACUAAUACCGCAGGUAAUACUUAGAAUCCGCAUGGAUUUUAAGUUAAACAUUUAUGGCUUACAGAUGGGCAUGCGUAUGAUUAGCUGGUUGGAGAGGUAACGGCUCCCCAAGGCAACGAUCAUUAGGGGUUCUGAGAGGAAGGUCCCCCACACUGGUACUGAGACACGGACCAGACUCCUACGGGAGGCAGCAGUGAGGAAUAUUGGUCAAUGGACGCAAGUCUGAACCAGCCAAAGUCGCGUGAAGGAAGAAUGUCCUAUGGAUUGUAAACUUCUUUUGAAGGGGAAUAAAGUACGGUACGUGUACCGUUUUGUAUGUACCCUUCGAAUAAGGAUCGGCUAACUCCGUGCCAGCAGCAGC